rnacentral:RNase_P_RNA from 1 species
CCAGACGGUCGGGCGGUCGCGGUCGGAGCUUGCUCCGGUCGAGGAAAGUCCGGGCUCCACGGUGAAAAGGCGGCGGAUAACUUCCGCCCGGGGUGACCCGAGGGAUAGCGCCACAGAAAGCAAACCGCCCCUCCUUGAGGGGUAAGGGUGAGGGUGGGGUAAGAGCCCACCGCGGUUUCGGUAACGCGACCGGCAUGGCAAGCCCCGCCUGGAGCAAGACCGAAUAGGGAUGUCGUGCGCGCUUCGGCUCGCGGGGUUCACCGCUCCAGACGUCCGGGUUGGUUGCUUGAGGCCCCGGCAACGGGUGGUCCAGAUGAAUGAUCGUCGCCGUUCCUUGCUUCGGCAGGGUGCGGAACAGAACCCGGCUUACAGACCGUCUGGCAGC